rnacentral:rRNA from 1 species
CCUAAGGCGCAUGAAGUGAAGGCAACCUCGGGCUUGCCUAGGUGGGAUCCCUUCUCCUGCGCGGGAGGGGCGCACCACCGGCCCGUCUCGACCGCAUCCGUCGGUGGGGCGGAGCAAGAGCGUACACGUUGGGACCCGAAAGAUGGUGAACUAUGCCUGAGUAGGACGAAGCCAGAGGAAACUCUGGUGGAGGUCCGUAGCGAUUCUGACGUGCAAAUCGAUCGUCAACUUUGGGUAUAGAA